rnacentral:rRNA from 1 species
AUUGAACGCUGGCGGCAUGCCUUACACAUGCAAGUCGAACGGUAACGCGGGGGCAACCCUGGCGACGAGUGGCGAACGGGUGAGUAAUAUAUCGGAACGUGCCCUAGAGUGGGGGAUAACGUAGCGAAAGUUACGCUAAUACCGCAUACGAUCUACGGAUGAAAGUGGGGGAUCGCAAGACCUCAUGCUCGUGGAGCGGCCGAUAUCUGAUUAGCUAGUUGGUAAGGGAAAAGCCUACCAAGGCGACGAUCAGUAGCUGGUCUGAGAGGACGACCAGCCACACUGGGACUGAGACACGGCCCAGACUCCGUACGGGAGGCAGCAGUGGGGUAAUUUUGGACAAGUGGGGGCAACCCUGAUCCAGCAAUGCCGCGUGUGUGAAGAAGGCCUGG